rnacentral:rRNA from 1 species
GUAAUCGCCCUCGUUGCAUGGUCUAUUUGGAAGCACAGUAAUGUUGUCCUAUUUGACGGCAAGAGCCCAUCCUCGAUCGACCUUGCCGAAGAUAUCAAGCCCGACGCGCAGCUCUGGGCUACGGCCGGAGCUAAAGGUUUAGAUAGAACUUUGCCUGCAGCUGAGUACUUGACUCCAGGCUAA